GUACGGAACGGAACAGCACCGGGGGAGCGGUGGAUGCCAGUGCCCUGCGCUAACGGGCUCGGGGGGUCGCCGCACUGCUCCUCACGGCAGCCCCGUGUCCCUGAGGUAGGGGCCGCCCGGUCCCGGCGGGGGCAGCCGCGGUACCUCGGGCGGGGAAACCGCUGGAUACCGUGGCGGAGGGGGCACGGCCUCGCCUUGCCCGGCGGCGGUGCUGGGCGGGUGUCACCGGGCGGUUAGCUUCGCCCUUAGCGCGUCUGCAGGGAAAGGACGAUCGUGCCUGUCAGGGCGGUGAGACCGAGCUCCCUCCGCAAAGGGGGGAACCGCGAGUAUUGGACCCGGCGCUCGCGUCCCUUGAAGGGGGAAACGAAAGUGAUUCAGAUUCACAGCCUCCUAUAACCCAAGACAAGCGGCGUGCUCCUUUUGCAGUCUGGCAGGUGCGCUGCAUGUGGAGCAAAACCCGCUGUAGGUGAUGCAACAAGUGACUGGGAUGGUGGCAGCUCUUGAGAAGAAGAGGCAGGCAGGCGCUCAGCUUUUAUGCACCAAACCCAACCAACCUCUUCUCACAGGUGACAGCAUGAGCAGCCCCUCAGUGUGGUUUGUUCCAGUUGUCAGAGCCAAAACGCACUCCAUCUCUCUUUUUCCGAGGUCAAUGGCCUGCGAUGUUCGAGGCCCAGGUUCCUUUCCUGGCUGUGGCAUAAAGAAAGUCAUGUCUCUGACUAUGGAUCAUCUUGUCGAUCUCAUUUAUUUCUCCCAUCAGUGUUCUGUUCUGAGUAAAUAAAGUGUAAAAUAAGCUUGUCUGACUCGAGUAACAUUUCAUAAAUCAUACAUGGAUGUGUUAAAUAGAAAAAGAAAAUCUCAUUUUAUAUGAAAAAUUGCACCUGUAAGUGGAAACACAGGGGUUUCUCAGAAAACAGAAAGUACUUUAUUUAAUUUUGGCAAUACCCUUGUCUUUUACAAGCAAGUGUUCUUGAGCAAACAGAUGAAUAACCCACGGAUGGAUGGGUGUAAUUCAUUCAUUUGUAUGUGAAGCCAGAGUAAUUCAGAAUCCAAAUGACAUCAAAAGUCCAGUGAUGAUCAGAAGUAUAUUUGACAGAAUACCACAGGGAGCCAAAAUAACACAGCAAAUGGUUUAACAAAUUUACUGACAACAUCCUUUCAUCUCCAGCUUCUGUUGGCUGAAAAUGGUCAAAAGCAAAGGACAAUUGUGUAUGAAGAGUGUGCCUGAGGAAGUAUCAGAUUAAGAUGAAUGGAUGUAAAUUCCCAAGUUGACUGGUGUGGCCGUUUUUUUUACUUAUUUGAGCAUAUUCGGGGUACUCUGUUUUAGUGUCCCUUGUAGAGAAAAGGAGAAUUUUGGAUAGCCUGUCCACAGUGUAAGUUAUUCUUAUCUUUGGCACCGUGCAUUUCUUUAAUGGUAAUCUGCCUUUUAUGAACUUACACUAACUAGGCUUAGUCUUAUCCAUUUCUCUAGUUUUACGGAAAAAUCCUCACAUAGCAAGUUUGUUAAGCAGCUAGACACUGCGCUGUUGCCACUCGGUACUACCACAAAUAGUUUGCUUAACAUUUUUAAUCUUAGGUGCAUUUCACCCCAUAUACUAUGAUGUAGCAGAAAAAAGAUAGGUAUUUGUGUGUGCAUGUGCAUAUACAUACAAACACACAAAUAUCUGUGACUAAACAUGUCCUUACUUGCUAGUUAUGUGAAAUGGGCAGCUAAGAGGAUUUCAUUUCUGAUAUCAAAUAACCAACUGAAGUUUGCUACUGAUGAUUUAAGAAGAAAGAAUGAGGUAACUUACUAAGGAAACUGGCAUGCUUCCUGGUGAGAAGUUGCUGCCCUAAGGAUGCAAAAAAGUAUAUAUAUAAAUGUAAAGAAUACUUGAAAAUAAAUGUGUCUUCAAAAGUAGCACACCUCUUUCCUCCAGGGCUCGUGCUGUAGGUUAUUUUGCUAUGGUUAUUCAGGGGAUUGUGAAUUUGAGGAAAAGACUGUGCUCCUCUGUGCCUUCUAGAGAGUAACUCAGGUUCAAGAUGCUUAACAAAUACUGCACAUCCUUGCUGAGGCACUUAAGUGUCAUGGCCAGCAAUCUUUAUCUAAUGUUAGUGAUCUCUGAGGAAACACAAUAGCUCCAUGUGGGUUUUGACUGGUACAUAGGCAGCAGAAAAAGCAGCCAAAGCACGGAACAGAUGACUUAACGGCCAGUCUUGUUAAGUCAGAUUGUACCCUGAUUUACUUACUCUGAAACCUUAAUGGUCUCAGUGAGGUUAGAACUCAACUGUGUGUGCCAUCAGCCUAACUAUGAAAGCAGAAAAUUUGCACUAACAUCAAGCAGAUGCAGUUCUUCCUAAUGAACUACUGGAGGAAAAAGAAAAAAGGAGGUAGUGCUAAGCUGCUACGCUUCUGUCUGCUGGCACUUGGUCCAGGAAAUGAUACAGAAGUCUUCCUUGAAUAAUAGCAGGUCUAUAGCUCACAAAAGCUGGAGAAAGACCAAUUGCAUGGCACAGCGUUUUGACCUGACCUGACAGCACAUGCUAAGGCCUCAUUUUGUACCAGAAGAAUGAAGAAUAAAGUCACACACUGUCUACAUAUGGAAAUGAAGGAAAUACUGUAAAAUGGGAAGUGCCAUAGGGCUGGACUUCUGAUUAAUCACAGGCAAAAGCUCUAGAAAUUGCAGGGUUGUUUUUUUUUUCCUGCAAAAUACUUUUUCUAAAAAUGAGGACAAAAAUUGUGACCAUUAACCUAUUAUCUGUGAUUUGAUGAUGCUUUAUUCAGGUUGGCCACAUGUCUUUUUCUUUGUGGGUUGUAGUUUAUUGACACAAUCAACUGAAAUGGCUCUUCUGGAGCCAUUACAAUUCGUUGUGUUAGUGCAGCUGAAAACACUUCAACAUACCAUGUGUCACGCUUUGUCAAGUUAACAGUUGAUGUUUCCAAAUCAGGAUUAGGAACAGUGCUGAUGCAGUGCAAUGCAGCAAUUGCUUGUGCAACAUAAGCAUUCAUGAAUAGGGACAAAUACUGCUGAAAUAAAGCAGCACUACCUAUCGUUUGCCAGGUGUCCCAGCAGCUUAUUUACCCUAACACAUCAAAUGGUCCAUCCCUUUGGUAUCAGAGGUUACUUACAACUACCAAAGGAAACAGAGCAUUCUCAUAUGAAUGCUCAUGAACCAAUAAUCUUCAGAAAUUAUACUAAAUUGUUAGUGAACAGUAAGAAAACAGUAAGUGAUGCACCAAAGGAGAUGCAAGAAAUGCAUGGCAAAGUCAGACAGGUAGAGCCGGCUGCAUGGCUAAUAGCACAUGAUACAGCCCUGAGUUCACCUCAUCAGAAGGUGCUGAGGUUUACAUUGCACCUUUAGUCCCUCCUUCUGCCCAGUAGAUCCACACUGGGACAGCAAUGAAGCUAAAACUGAACCUCCUCUUUAUGAUUUCAUUUUCUGAUUUCUGUAUGUGAUAGGCUUCUGUGUGAACAACUCCAGAAUUAUUACACUCAUGCCAAAAUGGAUAAUGGGUAAAUGGAUUGUGAACCUAUGCACGAACAUAAGCGAUACCCUGUUGAUGACAGAAAACAGCAGUAUGAAAAAUUGUGAUUUAUAUGUACUGCCAGAUUUGUAGAACUGCUGAAUGGAAAUAAAGGUAUUGAUGUUGAA
rnacentral:lncRNA from 1 species